rnacentral:rRNA from 1 species
GAUGAACGCUAGCGGCAGGCUUAAUACAUGCAAGUCGAGGGACAGCACAGGUAGCAAUACUGGGUGGUAACCGGCAAACGGGUGCGGAACACGUACACAACCUUCCUUUAAGUGGGGGAUAGCCCAGAGAAAUUUGGAUUAAUACCCCGUAAUAUAGUUGAAUGGCAUCAUUUGAUUAUUAUAGCUACGGCGCUUAAUGAUGGGUGUGCGGCUGAUUAGAUAGUUGGCGGGGUAACGGCCCACCAAGUCUACGAUCAGUAGCUGAUGUGAGAGGAUGAUCAGCCAACAGGGCAAUGGGACACGGGCCCGAAUCCCACGGGAGGGAGCAGUAAAGAAUAUUGGUCAAUGGACGCAAGUCUGAACCAGCCAUGCCGCGUGAAGGAUUAAGGUCCUCUGGAUUGUAAACUUCUUUUAUUUGGGACGAAAAAGGGCCUUUCUAGGUCAACUGACGGUACCAGAUGAAUAAGCACCGGCUAACUCCGUGCCAGCCGCCGCAGUAAUAC